GAUGAACGCUAGCGGCAGGCCUAAUACAUGCAAGUCGAGGGGUAACAGGAAUAGCAAUAUUUGCUGACGACCGGCGCACGGGUGCGUAACACGUAUACAAUCUGCCUUUAACAGGGGGAUAGCCCGGAGAAAUCCGGAUUAAUACCCCAUAACAAUAGAACAAGCAUUUGUUUUAUUUAAAAGCUCCGGCGGUUAGAGAUGAGUAUGCGUCUGAUUAGCUAGUUGGUGAGGUAACGGCUCACCAAGGCGACGAUCAGUAGGGGAUCUGAGAGGAUUAACCCCCACACGGAUACUGAGACACGGAUCCGACUCCUACGGGAGGCAGCAGUAAGGAAUAUUGGACAAUGCCCGCAAGGGUGAUCCAGCCAUGCCGCGUGCAGGAAGACGGCCCUAUGGGUUGUAAACUGCUUUUGUACCGGAGAAAACCUCCCCUCGUGAGGGGAGCUGAUAGUAUGGUAAG
rnacentral:rRNA from 1 species